AUUGAACGCUAGCGGGAUGCCUUACACAUGCAAGUCGAACGGAGUGGCGAACGGGUGAGUAAUGUAUCGGAACGUGCCCAGUAGCGGGGGAUAACUACGCGAAAGCGUAGCUAAUACCGCAUACUAUUGGAGCGGCCGAUAUCGGAUUAGCUAGUUGGUGGGGUAACGGCUCACCAAGGCGACGAUCCGUAGCUGGUUUGAGAGGACGACCAGCCACACUGGGACUGAGACACGGCCCAGACUCCUACGGGAGGCAGCAGUGGGGAAUAUUGGACAAUGGGCGAAAGCCUGAUCCAGCCAUGCCGCGUGUGUGAAGAAGGUCUUCGGAUUGUAAAGCACUUUAAGUUGGGAGGCGUUACCAACAGAAUAAGCACCGGCUAACUUCGUGCCAGCAGCCGCGGUAAUAC
rnacentral:rRNA from 1 species